GUGGUGCUGAGGAGCCGAGCGGGCGGGGAGCCUCUAGCUGCUCCAGCAUCCCACUUGCUCACUGCCCCCUGAUCCCGUGGACAGCGCAGUCAGAGGCAGGAGCAGGAGAGGAGGAAGCAGAGGAAAAGGAGGAGGAGGAGGCGGCUUGCAACUCCUCAGAUCCAGAGCCGGACUCCGAGCUAGUGAGGGAGCAGCAGACACGGCCUCCCAACCCUUCCCCCAAGGGGAACCCAGGCUGCCAACAGCUACCUGCGAGACCAGUGGUUCCAUUCUCUGCAGUGGAAGGUAAGUACUGACUCGGUUGCUUGUUUAAAGCGACUCAGGCAGUGGUGCGAUGGCUUAAAGCCAAUCUGUCACCCAGAGGCAUGAAAGUGGAGAACUCAUGCCUUCCAGAUGGCUCAGCUGAGGAACUUUGUUCCCCUAUCUAAGAGCCCCUGGCCCUUCGUCCUCUGCUGUUCAAUUCCUAUCCCCUGCAGUGCUGAAAUAGCAUUCUCGCCCUGGUGUUCUCAAAUCCUAUAGCUGUUUUCCUGCUUCAAAAGGAUCAUAGAACUGCUUGCUCUCAGAGUGAGGGCGACCCUGAGGGGAGUCCAGCCGGGGAGGCUGGACUUCAGGGGCUCAAGAUGCUUAGUUGAAAGUAACUUCCAAAGGCUGUGCCAAGUGUAAACUUAACAGAGAUUCAAAAUCCUGAGCCCUAUUUCUGUAGUCUUCACUGAUUUUCAGUUGUCGGAUUCUGUGGCCUAAUUUUCUGAUUCUGGCUCUACAUAGGAUGGUUCAGAGCUUUCUGGCACAUAAAGGGAACUUCAUCUUCUUGGAGACCCAGGAGCAGAUCUUCUAAGAGGGGUCCCCCAGCCACCCGAGGAGCCUGAGUUGUGCCCCAUGGCUCAGGCAAUGGAAACCUUGACGUCAGGACCAGGGCGUGAAGCACGUACAGUCAGCUUCUCAUUCCUGCCCUGCCUCCCUGUCUCUCCUUGUCUUCUGAUCUUCUGGUUUAGAACAAGCUUUGACAGGCCCCUGGCCCCACAGCGGGUAUGGCUGGAAUGACCAGUGUUUCAUAAGCUGUCAUCCUUACAGUAACCUGGGGAGCCACAGGGGAUGAACGGCUGGCCCCAUGCAGAGCUGGGUGCCAUGUCACGUGUUGGGAGGACCCAGGGAACACUCAGGAUUCCUCUCAUGGCUCCAGAGGGGCUCCCCCAACAGCCAGGGUUGGGGGCAGAAAGGCAACCCCAGAGAAUUACUUUCCUGGUCCCAGAGAGGGCCACUCCCCUCCUUUCCUCUGUCAGCUACUGGUCCUCUUGCUUUGUGCUGUGGGGCCAGGUCUCAGAAGCUGAGCUGAGUCUCCACGUUGGGGUUGCAAAGGGGAGGAGAACUAGUGUUUACUGAGCUUCUACUGUGUGCCAGGACUAGCGUGUUUUGAGCUCCCACUGUGUGCCAGGAGCUCUGCUAGUCUCAUCAUGUCCAUUUCACCCUCACCACAACCGCAUAAGGUUGAUGAUUAUCGUUGUUGCCAUUUUCCAUAUAGGAAAGAUGAGGCUCAGACUGGAGUCCAAGCUCCCAUCGUUA
rnacentral:sRNA from 1 species